GACGAACGCUGGCGGCGUGCCUAAUACAUGCAAGUUGAGCGAUGAAGAUUGGUGCUUGCACCAAUUUGAAGAGCAGCGAACGGGUGAGUAACGCGUGGGGAAUCUGCCUUUGAGCGGGGGACAACAUUUGGAAACGAAUGCUAAUACCGCAUAACAACUUUAAACAUAAGUUUUAAGUUUGAAAGAUGCAGUUGCAUCACUCAAAGAUGAUCCCGCGUUGUAUUAGCUAGUUGGUGAGGUAAAGGCUCACCAAGGCGAUGAUACAUAGCCGACCUGAGAGGGUGAUCGGCCACAUUGGGACUGAGACACGGCCCAAACUCCUACGGGAGGCAGCAGUAGGGAAUCUUCGGCAAUGGACGAAAGUCUGACCGAGCAACGCCGCGUGAGUGAAGAAGGUUUUCGGAUCGUAAAACUCUGUCGGUAGAGAAGAACGUUGGUGAGAGUGGAAAGCUCAUCAAGUGACGGUAACUACCCAGAAAGGGACGGCUAACUACGUG
rnacentral:rRNA from 1 species